ACUCAAAGGAAUUGACGGGGGCCCGCACAAGCGGUGGAGCAUGUGGUUCAAUUCGACGCAACGCGAAGAACCUUACCAGCCCUUGACAUGUGACUCGCCGGUCUCAGAGAUGAGACCUUCGGUUCGGCCGGAGUCAGCACAGGUGCUGCAUGGCUGUCGUCAGCUCGUGUCGUGAGAUGUUGGGUUAAGUCCCGCAACGAGCGCAACCCUCGUCUCCAGUUGCCAUCAGGUUAUGCUGGGCACUUUGGAGAAACUGCCGGUGACAAGCCGGAGGAAGGUGGGGAUGACGUCAAGUCCUCAGGGCCCUUACGGGCUGGGCUACACACGUGCUACAAUGGCGGUGACAAUGGGAUGCAAAGGCGCGAGCCGGAGCCGAUCCUAAAAAACCGUCUCAGUUCGGAUUGCACUCUGCAACUCGAGUGCAUGAAGGUGGAAUCGCUAGUAAUCGAGGAUCAGCAUGCCUCGGUGAAUACGUUCCCGGGCCUUGCACACACCGCCCGU
rnacentral:rRNA from 1 species